GCUCAUUAUAUAAGUUAUCGUUUAUUUGAUAGUGCCUAUCCUACAUGGAUAACAGUGGUAAUUCUAGAGCUAAUACAUGCUAAAAGCUCCGACUUCGGAAGGAGCGUAUUUAUCAGAUUCAGAACCAAUGCCCUCACGGGCUCUUUGGUGGCUCAUGAUAACUCCACAGAUCGCAUGGCCUUGCGCCGGCGAUGGCUCAUUCAAAUUUCUUCCCUAUCAACUUUCGACGGUACGGUCUUGGCCUACCGUGGUUGCAACGGGUGACGGAGGGUUAGGGCUCGACCCCGGAGAGGGAGCCUGAGAAACGGCUACCACAUCCAAGGAAGGCAGCAGGCGCGCAAAUUAUCCAAUCCCGACUCGGGGAGAUAGUGACAAUAAAUACCGAUACAGGGCUCUUUUGGGCCCCGUAAUUGGAAUGAGUACAAUUUAAACCUCUUAACGAGGAACAAUUGGAGGGCAAGUCUGGUGCCAGCAGCCGCGGUAAUUCCAGCUCCAAUAGCGUAUAUUAAAGUUGUUGUGGUUAAAAAGCUCGUAGUCGAACCUCGAGCCCGGCCGGCCGGUCCGCCUCACCGCGUGCACUGGUCUGGCCGGGCUCUUCCCUCUGCGGAACCGCAUGCCCUUUACUGGGCGUGCCGGGGAGGCAGGACUUUUACUUUGAAAAAAUUAGAGUGCUCAAGGCAGGCCAAUGCUCGGAUACAUUAGCAUGGAAUAAUAGAAUAGGACGUUGGUUCUAUUUUGUUGGUUUCUAGGACCGCCGUAAUGAUCAAUAGGGACGGUCGGGGGCAUCAGUAUUCAGCCGCGAGAGGUGAAAUUCUUAGACCGGCUGAAGACUAACUACUGCGAAAGCAUUUGCCAAGGACGUUUUCGCUGAUCAGGAACGAAAGUUAGGGGAUCGAAGACGAUCAGAUACCGUCGUAGUCUUAACCAUAAACGGUGCCGACUUGGGAUCGGGCGCUGUUCUCUCUAGACGCGCUCGGCACCAUUCGAGAAAUCA
rnacentral:rRNA from 1 species